AGCAGCCGCGGUAAUUCCAGCUCCAAUAGCGUAUAUUAAAGUUGUUGCAGUUAAAAAGCUCGUAGUUGAAUUUCGGGAUCAAUAUGUCGGUCGUGCCUCGGUACGAACUGGCGUCAUUGGUUUCUCCCUUCUGAAGAACCUCGAUGUCAUUAAUUUGGUGUCGUGGGGAAUCAGGACUGUUACUUUGAAAAAAUUAGAGUGUUUAAAGCAGGCUCACGCUUGAAUACAUUAGCAUGGAAUAAUGAAAUAGGACGUUUGAUUCUAUUUUGUUGGUUUCUAGGAUCGACGUAAUGAUUAAUAGGGAUAGUUGGGGGCAUUAGUAUUCAAUUGUCAGAGGUGAAAUUCUUGGAUUUAUUGAAGACUAACUACUGCGAAAGCAUUUGCCAAGGAUGUUUUCAUUAAUCAAGAACGAAAGUUAGGGGAUCGAAGACGAUCAGAUACCGUCGUAGUCUUAACCAUAAACUAUGCCGACUAGGGAUCGGAUGAUGUUAAUUUUUAAUGACUCAUUCGGCGCCUUAAC
rnacentral:rRNA from 1 species